UACGUAGGGUGCAGGCGUUAAUCGGAAUUACUGGGCGUAAAGCGUGCGCAGGCGGUCUGCUAAGAGAGAUGUGAAAUCCCCGGGCUUAACCUGGGAACUGCGUUUCUAACUGGCAGGCUUGAGUGUGGCAGAGGGGGGGUGGAAUUCCACGUGUAGCAGUGAAAUGCGUAGAUAUCUGGAGGAACACCGGUGGCGAAGGCGGCAUCCUGGACCGGUAUUGACGCUGAUGCGCGAAAGCCAGGGGAGCAAACGGGG
rnacentral:rRNA from 1 species